rnacentral:lncRNA from 10 species
AAAACUUAAAGUAUAAUAAAAAAAUAAAUUAAAAAAAAUGGUAAUAAUUAGGGAUGGAGAGCUAAAACUGAGAUGAUACUAUACCAUAUAUAUUUUUGUGAGUUAUGCAGGCAUCACCAUGUCAUAGUGAAUUAAGAAAUAAAACUGGGUUAGGUACAAUUAAUACUUAGGAUUAUCUGGCUCUGCCACUAAGUAGAGAAAAAACUAACCUCUCUGGGUCUUAGUUUCCUCCUCUGAACAUAAUGAAAAGAUAGAAUUUGUUGAUUUCUUUUGAUAUCAUAUUUAUUGCAUAUUUGGUGGCCUCAUAGCUCUUAGUAAGGUGUUGAGCACAUAGAAGGCCAUAAAAUAGCUGCUGAUUAAGUGACUGAUGAAUCAGAUGAAGGGGAACAUGGAUUCAACAAGAUAGUAUGACAGAAAAAGGAAUACUGUAUGAGCUUUACAUGGUUGGUGAAUAAGGUGUAAAUGGUAUUGAGGAAUAAAGGAUUCUAAAUUUCAUAUUUUAUGGCCAAUGCUUGAUCUGAACAUUUUUCUUGAUUUCUGUCAAGACCUUUAUGCCUGAAAUGAUGGUCUUCAGAGGAAAACUGAAACACAGAAUUCUAUAAAGUAUACAGAUAAUGAGGUCUAAAGAGAAUCUUUGCUUCAAUGAUUCUUAACAUAACUAAUAAGUUCUUCAACAGGUGCGUGUAUGAGGGGAGAGGGUAGUGUCUUGGGAUGAAUUUCAUUCCCUCCAAAAAAGAUACACUGAAAUUUAACCUCCACCACCUGUGAAUAUGAUCCUAUUUAGAAAAGGGAUCUGUGUACAUUUAGUCAAGUGAAGAUGAGUGUGGACAUUAAUCCAAUGUGACUGGCAUCCUUAUAAAAAGAGGGAAAUUUGGACACAGAUGCACACACAGAGGAAAACAUGGAGAAGAUGGAAUCAGAGAUUAAAAUGAUGCAUCUGCAAGCCAACGAAUGCCAAGCAUUGGUGGCCAUCACCAGAAGCUAGGAGAGAGGAGCAGAUAUUCCCUCAGAGCUCUCAGAAGAAACCAAUCCUGUUGAUGCCUUGAUUUCAGACUUCAACCCCCAAAUCCAAUUUUUAGUAACAUGAUUGCA